UGAGGAAUCUUGGUCAAUGGACGAGAGUCUGAACCAGCCAUGCCGCGUGAAGGAUGAAGGCGUUCUGCGUUGUAAACUUCUUUUGCGGGGGAAGAAACCUUGAUAUUCUUAUCAAGCCGACGGUACCCCGAGAAUAAGCACCGGCUAACUCCGUGCCAGCAGCCGCGGUAAUACGGAGGGUGCAAGCGUUAUCCGGAUUUACUGGGUUUAAAGGGUGUGUAGGCGGAUUAUUAAGUCAGCGGUGAAAUCUCCAGGCUCAACCUGGAAACUGCCAUUGAUACUAUUAGUCUUGAAUAUUGUGGAGGUGGGCGGAACGGGUCAUGUAGCGGUGAAAUGCAUAGAUAUGUCAUAGAACACCGAUUGCGAAGGCAGCUAACGAAACUAUAACUGACGCUGAGGCACGAAAGUGUGGGGAUCAAACA
rnacentral:rRNA from 1 species